UACAGAGGUCUCAAGCGCUGUUCGGAUUCAUUGGGCGUAAAGGGUGCGUAGGUGGCGUCGUAAGUCGGGUGUGAAAUUUCGGAGCUUAACUCCGAAACUGCAUUCGAUACUGCGGUGCUUGAGGACUGGAGAGGAGACUGGAAUUUACGGUGUAGCAGUGAAAUGCGUAGAGAUCGUAAGGAAGACCAGUGGCGAAGGCGGGUCUCUGGACAGUUCCUGACACUGAGGCACGAAGGCCCAGGGGAGCAAACGGG
rnacentral:rRNA from 1 species